rnacentral:sRNA from 1 species
UAGAAUUGAACUAGAUCUUAAAAGCCUAAAUAUUGUAUCCUUGUUAAAAGAUACAAAGACAAAGACUCAUAUUGACUUCGGCUACACUAUCAAAGCUUUGAGAAGCAAGAAGAAGCUUAGUUAGUGUUUUGGAGUCAAAUAUGACUUGAUGUCAUGUGUAUCAUUGAGUAGAAGAACUUAAACGGCAAUCGGAUCUUAAAAGCCUAAGUAGUGUAUCCUUGUUAGAAGACACAAAGCCAAAGACUCAUAUGGACUUUAGCUACACCAUGAAAGCUUUGAGAAGCAAGAAGAAGGUUGGUUAGUGUUUUGGAGUCGAAUAUGACUUGAUGUCAUGUGUAUGAUUGAGUAUAAGAACUUAACCGCAACCCGAUCUUAUAAGCCUAAGUAGUGUUUCCUUGUUAGAAGAUACAAAGGCAAAGACUCAUACGGAGUUUGGCUACACCAUGAAAGCUUAGAGAAGGUAGAAGAAGGUUGGUUAGUGUUUUGGAGUCGAAUAUGAGUUGAUGUCAUGUGUAUGAUUGAGUAUAAGAACUUAAACCGCAACCGGAUCUUAAAGGCGUAAGAAUUGUAUCCUUGUUAGAAGACACAAAGCCAAAGACUCAUACGGACUUUGGCUACACCAUUAAAGCUUUGAGAAGCUAGAAGAAGGUUGGUUAGUGUUUUGGAGUCGAAUAUGACUUGAUGUCAUGUGUAUGAUUUAGUAUAAAAACUUAAGCCGCAACUCGAUCUUAAAAGCCUAAUUAGUGUAUCCUUGUUAGAAGACACAAAGCCAAAGACUCAUAUAAACUU